UACGUAGGGGGCAAGCGUUGUCCGGAAUCAUUGGGCGUAAAGCGCGUGUAGGCGGUCCGGUAAGUCCGCUGUGAAAGUCGGGGGCUCAACCCUCGGAUGCCGGUGGAUACUGUCGGGCUUGAGUACGGAAGAGGCGAGUGGAAUUCCUGGUGUAGCGGUGAAAUGCGCAGAUAUCCGGAAGAACACCGGUGGCGAAGGCGGCCUGCUGGGCAGUAUGGCUGACACUGAGGCGCGACAGCGUGGGGAGCAAACAGG
rnacentral:rRNA from 1 species